rnacentral:rRNA from 1 species
GGAGUUAGCCGGUGCUUCUUCUGCGAGUAACGUCACAGAUGUAAGGUAUUAACUUACACCCUUUCCUCCUCGCUGAAAGUGCUUUACAACCCGAAGGCCUUCUUCACACACGCGGCAUGGCUGCAUCAGGGUUUCCCCCAUUGUGCAAUAUUCCCCACUGCUGCCUCCCGUAGGAGUCUGGGCCGUGUCUCAGUCCCAGUGUGGCUGAUCAUCCUCUCAGACCAGCUAGGGAUCGUCGCCUAGGUGAGCCUUUACCUCACCUACUAGCUAAUCCCACCUGGGCUUAUCCAUCAGCGCAAGGCCCGAAGGUCCCCUGCUUUCCCCCGUAGGGCGUAUGCGGUAUUAGCAGUCGUUUCCAACUGUUAUCCCCCACAAAUGGGCAAAUUCCCAGGCAUUACUCACCCGUCCGCCGCUCGUCAUCUUCAAAAGACAAGCUUUUGAAAUGUUACCGCUCGACUUGCAUGUGUUAGGCCUGCCGCCAGCGUUCAAUACUGAGCCACUGAUCAAACUACUGA